GACGAACGCUGGCGGCGUGCCUAAUACAUGCAAGUCGAGCGAGCGGCGGACGGGUGAGUAAUGUAUGGGGCCUGCCCGAUAGAGGGGGAUAACUACUGGAAACGGUGGCUAAUACCGCCUACUAUCGGAUAAUCCAUAUGGGAUUAGCUAGUAGGUGGGGUAAAGGCUCACCUAGGCGACGAUCUCUCGGUGGUCUGAGAGGAUGAUCAGCCCCACUGGGACUGAGAGAAGGCCCAGACUCCUAUGGAGGCAGCAGUGGAGAAAAUGGCACAAUGGGCGCAAGCCUGAUGUAGCCAUGCCGCGUGUAUGAAGAAGGCCUGAGGGUUGUAAAGUACUUUCAGCUGGGAGGCUUUACCCGCAGAAGAAGCACCGGCUAACUCCGUGCCAGCAGCCGCGGUAAUAC
rnacentral:rRNA from 1 species